rnacentral:rRNA from 1 species
UACGUAGGGUGCAAGCGUUAUCCGGAAUCACUGGGCGUAAAGGGCGCGUAGGCGGCCUGUUAAGUCCGAUGUUAAAGACUGGGGCUCAACCCCAGCAUUGCGUUGGAUACUGGCAGGCUUGACGGUUGGAGAGGCGAGUGGAAUUACCAGUGUAGCGGUGAAAUGCGUAGAUACUGGUAGGAACACCCAUUGCGAAGGCAGCUCGCUGGACAACACGUGACGCUGAGGCGCGAAAGUGUGGGGAGCAAACCGGAUUAGAUACCCGGGUAGU